CUCUGGCAGUUCUCGGGUGAAAUCGAAUCGAAACGUUCACAUAACCAGUAGCGCCGCGAUCGUGUUUCAACGUGCGUGGGAUCGAAAUGAUUCCCGAAGAAAAACGCGGCUUUCCACCUCGUCCUCGUAAUAAGGAAGUCCUUAACAGGUCUUAAUGAUAUUAAUUAGAAACGGGAAUAUUUUGUGUCUAAGAUUCACCACCGGUUGCACUAGACGACUUUAGGUUAUGUAACACGCGUUCGUAUUGCAACACGCAGAUUCUGUAUAUAAUCGCACAAUCCUUGUUUCCUAUCUUCGAUUUCGCUAUCUUUCUCUUCCAUCUCUGUUCUUUUCUCUGUCUUUUUUCCGUGUUUCUCUCUCCCUCAUUCGUCUUCUGUUAUUGUACUAUCAAGUUUCGCCACGAUGUCCGUGAAACGUGCUCAAUCGUAGAAAAUCCGAGCACCGUGAAAUCCUCUAUGUGCGGUGGUUCGUGUCGAUUCUCAAGCGAUGGAAAACUGACCAGUGUGGAGAUACUGUAAAGGGAUUUAACGGUGUUCAUAACUGGACAGCUGAUAAUGAAGAAAUCUAUAAUCACUCUGCACAACAGCCAAAGCCAAAAUUUUCGUGCAAUUAAAUUUCUGAAGGAACAUCGCGUUAAAAUCUUCUGUUUUUAACAACAGUAAGGAAAAGAUGUUUCUGCAACGACGAACAACAAUACUGCAUACAACAGAUGGCAUAAUUUGUGUCCCGAGUAGGGCCUCACUGGUUACGGGAACAAUAGCGCGUACACAGUUAAGCUGGAUAUACUGUAGAAGGCGCUAGUUGCGGGACAUCGCAUCGUGUGGAAUUUAACUCUUCUGAGAUCAAGAGUCUCGCAAAAUCGUGCAUCCGGCCGCGUUUCAGGAUUGAAAAUACCUCGCUGACUGUAAAUAAACUUUCGCCACGAGAGACGCCUCACAAUGCCACCACCGGGGAAGAGUCCCAGUACGAGUGUGUGUACGUGUAUGUCCUCAAUUUCACAAACGUUUGGCAUAGAUUCGUGAUUUCUCUCCAGUCUACGGAUCGAUGGAUCUCGCGGAGAUCAAUGCAAAUCGAUAUUCAGAGAAUGAUGAAUUAAUUGGCUUUUCAAAUUCUUGGAUGCGUUAAAUUAAUCAUGUUUUAUGACACAGAAUUAUUCCAAUGCAGGAUUCCGGUUAUAAUGACAUACUAAUAAAAUUAUCUUACGAAACGUUGGAAUACUUUUUCCAAAACAACACGACUUACACUCGGAAGCCUCAAUUUUAAUAAUUACACGAUACUUUAAGUCUUGUAAUCGAGGUCUUAUAAUUCUUGAAAGUUAUUAAAUUGC